AGGAGGCAUCUUGAGAAAUGG
rnacentral:miRNA from 1 species